rnacentral:lncRNA from 1 species
GACUUUAUAAUAAUUCUAUACAUUCAGAUUACCUAUAUGCAAUCCAUAUUGAAACCUCGAACUCGAACUAUCACUGUAGACUCUCUUUAAUCUUUAUAUAAUAUUCUUGUUUUCAAAUUUAAUUAUGUGUUUAUUAGCGUAGGUAAUCAUUACCCACUUAAAUCAAUACGGUUAUCAGUUUAUAGCUAAUUGUUUACAAAAAUGCACAUGUUUAUUGUAUUUGUAUUUAUCAUAAUUCGUUUGAUCUUAUAUACCUAACUAUAAAUAUAUGGUUUUUAUAUAAUCAACGCAUAUAAUAUAUAUAUUAAUAUUAUACUAGAUCAACAUCAGUUAUUGACAAACCGGGACAGUCUCUAAAAAAUGUCUAUCAAACAACAUACAACCAAAACCUGUUAGCAAAAUAUCGAAGAUAUCCAUGCAGCAAUUGUUGCUGGAUCCCGAGGGCCGAGAGUCCGACAGAUAUAUUUCUUCAUGGGACGAGAUGUUUGAAAAGUGUAGACUUGAAAACAUAUGAAAUACACGUGUCACUGCAGCCAAUAUUUAUGAGCCGGAUUGAAAGGAGGGUAAAUAUUUAUUUACGAAAACUUUCUAUGUAGUAUCUAGAUAAAUUUUACACAAACACGAUGAAACUUAUAAUUAAAAUUACUGAUUUUAAAGUGAUAUUACAACCGACUAGUGAAGAACGGUAAAAUUGAAAAAACAAAUUAUUAUCUGAACAGGCAUAAAUUAAUAUUGAUGAAAAAUUAAUCCCCAAAAAUUGCAUCAAUUAUAAAUUUAUAAUUUUUAUAGAUUUAAUCAUGUUUUCUGCAGUAAUGGUUCAUUUGUACCGAUGGCUGACCAACUAUAACUACAGAGGUGUUCAAGUACGGAAAAUAAAAUGCAUAAACAUAGUAGUAGUAAUAAUUUGCUCCUUCUUUCACACAGCAAAACGCCACAUAAACAACCAUGAAUUUUGCCUCUUUUUUUAAAAUAAAACAGAAAUUUAGUUAUAUUUUUCGUUUAUUUUAAAUAUUUACAAAACUACACAAUUUUUAUUAUUUUUUAUUUAAUACUUAUUUCAAAUAAUUUUUAAAUAUUAGUAUUGAUUAUUAAUAUUGCUUAUUUUCCUAUUUUUAUAUUUUAUACAAUAUUAUAUGAUUCUUAGAUAUUAUUUUACAAGUAUUCUUACUUCUCUAAUUAAGGGAAUAUGUUUUACAAUACGAUUGUAUAUUAAAAUACAGUAAGCUGUUACUCCUUUUAAAGUCAAAAUAAUUAAAUUUAAAACAAACGUUAAAAUAUAAAAUAAAAAUAUGAAAAAUAAACAGAUUUUGUUCGUAGGACGUUUUGUUGCGUGAUAGAAAGAAUAAAUUAUCACUACUUACAGUUAAUAAUUAUUAAUAUUUUUCGAAAAUUAUAUCGGUAUCUAUAGCUUUAUAUUUUAGGUACUUGAGCGUAUUAUUUUCGGUUUUAAAUCGACAGCAUUAUUGGUAGUAGCGUAGUUAGCUCAUGAAUCUUGAAUUCCGCGAUAAUAAUGAACAAAUGAGAUUAACGGGGUUCUACCGCCCGAUUAAGGGGACUCCGAGUGAUAUGGAGGCUUAGCCUCUCUACCUCCAUAAUUACGCUAAUGAUUCUUGGUACCAACUUUUAAACAUAUAAGUACAAUAUUAUUAUUCUUUGAAGGCUGUCUACAGUGAUGUGCGCAAGGAAAGGGAGGUUAGAAGUUAUACCCUCCCCUUCAAUGGCUUAAACAAGUAUUAAUAUUUAGUUGUUUAAUCUUGAAAUAUAUACAUUUCAGCCUAGUUACGAAGAAAAAAUUGGUUCAACGAAUAAAAAUAAAUUUUUUGAAUCUAGCUUUUAAAUUCUCACUGUCGGGUUGGUUAUAAAAAAAGAUUCUACAAUUACUCAAUUAUAAUUAUUUACUACAUCACCUCUCACUGAAAAUUCCUGGCAAGCUACUAACUAUUUAACAUAUAUAACUCAUAGGUACCUAUAUAAUGUGCAGGUAAUUUGCGCACAAAAUCGUCGUUCUUAAUUUUACCAAUAACUUUUUAGCGAUCGGACGAAAUGAAAACACAAUCCAAAGAGGCGAAAUCAUCGUGCCAAAAACGGUGUACGGGACUCGUUUCGGUCUUGACGACGGUCACAUACUGCAUAUACCAUCAAGGCUAGGUAAACAGUCUAGUACGACUAAAAAGUAGAAGCCUAUGUUUUAUAUAUAUAUUUUUUUUUAGAUCUAUUUGGGUUAUAAUGUAUAAAUGUGUUACUCACCGAUUUAUAAUAGAUAAAUGUAAAUAUAUUUUUACAAUAUGAUAGGCAGUAUAUUUUUUAUAAUGAAAAUUAUAAUAAUAGCAAAAACAUAACGUCCGUUAUCAUCGACGACGACGUGUCAAACAACGUACGAAAACAUCACCCGCGACGGCUGAGUUUAGGGCGUGCUUUUUUAUUUCCACAAAAAUAUAAAUAUAUUAACAAAACUAAAAAAAAUUGCUUUUUAAAACAUGUAAUGAAUAAUAUUAUCACGUUUCGGUGUACGAAACGACUGAUGUACGAUAUGUACCUACUCGAUAUAAUAUAUUUCAUAAUGAGAGUUCUCUCCACUCGCU